CCUACGGGAGGCAGCAGUAAGGAAUAUUGGUCAAUGGACGCAAGUCUGAACCAGCCAUGCCGCGUGAAGGAUGACGGCCCUCUGGGUUGUAAACUUCUUUUAUCUGGGACGAAAAAAGGGCUUUCUAGCUCACUUGACGGUACCAGAGGAAUAAGCACCGGCUAACUCCGUGCCAGCAGCCGCGGUAAUACGGAGGGUGCAAGCGUUAUCCGGAUUCACUGGGUUUAAAGGGUGCGUAGGUGGGUCUGUAAGUCAGUGGUGAAAUCUCCGAGCUUAACUCGGAAACUGCCAUUGAUACUAUAGGUCUUGAAUUAUCUGGAGGUAAGCGGAAUAUGUCAUGUAGCGGUGAAAUGCUUAGAUAUGACAUAGAACACCAAUUGCGAAGGCAGCUUACUACGGAUUGAUUGACACUGAGGCACGAAAGCGUGGGGAUCAAACAGGAUUAGAUACCCUGGUAGUCCACGCCCUAAACGAUGGAUACUCGACAUCAGCGAUACACUGUUGGUGUCUGAGCGAAGACGAUAAGUAUCCACCGUGGUAAGGUACGACCGCGAGGUUAGUUAACGUACGAAGGAAGUUAGACGGGCGUUGAGACGUUGCCGACGGACGACGACGAGGGGAGGAGG
rnacentral:rRNA from 1 species